UACGUAGGUGACCAGCGUUGUCCGGAUUUACUGGGCGUAAAGAGCGCGCAGGCGGUCGUUCAAGUCGAGUGUGAAAGCCCCCGGCUCAACUGGGGAGGGUCACUCGAUACUGAUCGACUUGAAGGCAGGAGAGGGAAGCGGAAUUCCCGGUGUAGUGGUGAAAUGCGCAGAUAUCAGGAGGAACACCGAUGGCGAAGGCAGGUCUCUGGGCAUUAACUGACGCUGAGGAGCGAAAGCAUGGGGAGCGAACAGG
rnacentral:rRNA from 1 species